CGCGACCCCAGGUCAAGCGGGGCUACCCGCUGAGUUUAAGCAUAUCAAUAAG
rnacentral:rRNA from 1 species